UACGUAGGUGGCAAGCGUUGUCCGGAUUUAUUGGGUUUAAAGGGUGCGUAGGCGGUCAUGUAAGUCAGUGCUGAAAUAUCCCGGCUUAACCGGGAGGGUGGCAUUGAUACUGUAUGACUUGAGUAAAGUUGAGGUUGGCGGAAUUGACGGUGUAGCGGUGAAAUGCUUAGAUAUCGUCAAGAACACCUAUUGCGAAGGCAGCUAACUAAGCUUUAACUGACGCUGAGGCACGAAAGCGUGGGGAGCGAACAGG
rnacentral:rRNA from 1 species